rnacentral:rRNA from 1 species
UCUGGUUGAUCCUGCCAGUAGUCAUAUGCUUGUCUCAAAGAUUAAGCCAUGCAUGUCUAAGUAUAAGCAAUCUAUACAGUGAAACUGCGAAUGGCUCAUUAAAUCAGUUAUCGUUUAUUUGAUAGUACAUUUACUACUUGGAUAACCGUGGUAAUUCUAGAGCUAAUACAUGCCAAAAAUCCUUGCCCCUGGUGAGGAUGUAUUUAUUAGAUAAAAAACCAAUGUCUUCGGACUCCUUGGUGAUUCAUAAUAACUUUUCGAAUCGCAUGGCCUUGCGCUGGCGAUGGUUCAUUCAAAUUUCUGCCCUAUCAACUUUCGAUGGUAGGAUAGUGGCCUACCAUGGUUUCAACGGGUAACGGGGAAUAAGGGUUCUAUUCCGGAGAGGGAGCCUGAGAAACGGCUACCACAUCCAAGGAAGGCAGCAGGCGCGCAAAUUACCCAAUCCUGACACGGGGAGGUAGUGACAAUAAAUAACGAUACAGGGCCCAUUGGGUCUUGUAAUUGGAAUGAGAACAAUUUAAAUACCUUAUCGAGGAACAAUUGGAGGGCAAGUCUGGUGCCAGCAGCCGCGGUAAUUCCAGCUCCAAUAGCGUAUAUUAAAGUUGUUGCAGUUAAAAAGCUCGUAGUUGAACCUUGGGCCUGAUCUGCCGGUCCGCUGCAAGGCGAGUACUGGUUUAGAUCGGGUCUUUCCUCCUGGCUAACCUAGGUGCUCUUCAUCGGGUGCCUAGGCGAACCAGGACUUUUACUUUGAAAAAAUUAGAGUGUUCAAAGCAGGCCUUCGCUCGAAUAUAUUAGCAUGGAAUAAUGAAAUAGGACGUACGUUUCUAUUUUGUUGGUUUCUAGGAACGUCGUAAUGAUUAAUAGGGACAGUCGGGGGCAUCAGUAUUCAAUUGUCAGAGGUGAAAUUCUUGGAUUUAUUGAAGACUAACUACUGCGAAAGCAUUUGCCAAGGAUGUUUUCAUUAAUCAAGAACGAAAGUUAGGGGAUCGAAGACGAUCAGAUACCGUCGUAGUCUUAACCAUAAACUAUGCCGACUAGGGAUCGGGCGAUGUUCUUUUUCGACUCGCUCGGCACCUUACGAGAAAUCAAAGUUUUUGGGUUCUGGGGGGAGUAUGGUCGCAAGGCUGAAACUUAAAGGAAUUGACGGAAGGGCACCACCAGGAGUGGAGCCUGCGGCUUAAUUUGACUCAACACGGGGAAACUCACCAGGUCCAGACACAAUAAGGAUUGACAGAUUGAGAGCUCUUUCUUGAUUUGGGGCUGCUGGUGCAUGGCCGUUCUUAGUUGGUGGAGUGAUUUGUCUGCUUAAUUGCGAUAACGAACGAGACCUUAACCUACUAAAUAGCUCGAUCAGCUUUGGCUGAUUAUUAGCUUCUUAGAGGGACUAUCGAUAUCAAAUCGAUGGAAGUUUGAGGCAAUAACAGGUCUGUGAUGCCCUUAGACGUUCUGGGCCGCACGCGCGCUACACUGACGGAGCCAGCGAGUAAAUAACCUUGGCCGAGAGGUCUGGGUAAUCUUGUUAAACUCCGUCGUGCUGGGGAUAGAGCAUUGCAAUUAUUGCUCUUCAACGAGGAAUUCCUAGUAAGCGCAAGUCAUCAGCUUGCGUUGAUUACGUCCCUGCCACUUUGUACACACCGCCCGUCGCUACUACCGAUUGAAUGGCUUAGUGAGGCCUCCGGAUUGGCUCCAGGAAGUGGGCAACCACUACCAGGAGCUGAAAAGCUGGUCAAACUUGGUCAUUUAGAGGAAGUAAAAGUCGUAACAAGGUUUCACGUAGGUGAACCUGCGGAAG